CUCACUCUGUAGACCAGGCUGACCUUGAACUCACAGAGAUCCACCUGCCUCUGCUGCCGAGUGCUGGGAUUAAAGGUGUGCGCCACCACCCCCUGGCUCAGUCAUGGUGUUUUAUUACAGCAGUAUAAAGUAAACCAGGACAGUGUGUAUAGUGUAUAUUAUGUGUGUACGGGUGUGCGUGUAGGUCCUUAUACCUAUGCACACCCAGAGGCCAGAGGAGAACUCUGGGUGCCGAUUCCUCAUCAUCCCAUCACUCUUCCUCAUAGUCCCUUAAGAUGGGUUUCCUCCCCGAACUUGGAGCUAAGCUGGCAGCUAGCAAGCCCCAGUGAUUCUAUUUCUCUGUCCCACAGGGCUGAGGUGACAGGUAUGCAUGGCCACAUCCCAGUUUUUAAAAAUCUGGGCAUUGGAAAUACAAACUCAGGUCCUCAUGAUUUCUCAGCUAGCGCUCUUCCUCACUGAGUCCUCUCUCCAGUCCCUGGACUCAUUUCAUUGACUGUGAAGUAAUGAGGACGUUACACCAGGUUCUAGGUUCCAGUGCACGGCGCUCCAUGGCGAGCACAUGUUAAGGGCAAGGUGUUUUUAUGUAUCCAUUGCACAUAUACAAUACCCCCGCUAGCUGGAGGCUGUACACUGUCCUUCUAAAUUAAUCCCUCUGUCCAGAGCUCAUCACCAGCCUCCCUCACAGAACCUAGGAGGAAAUAGAGUGGAGCUUUUUGCUCACUCUUUUACUUUUUUGCAACUCAGGACAAGGACAGGACUGUGAUGAGGACAAUGCCUGAAGGAAGGGGGGCAAAGCGAAGAGAGUGGGGGUCCCUGGGCAACGGCACGGAACAGUUAUCUGGGGUGCUCACUGCUGCUAGGGAGAUAGGUGAUCUUCCACAAUAAGCUAUCUGCUUGUUGUGGGCGUCUUUGUUAUAGUAACUUAGCCUUACCCGAUACUCGCAUAUCAUAGAGUAGAAUAGGCUCAGAGUAGUCCAAGUGGACCAGUCUACAAGGUUCUUGUACUAGUUAAAUCUUUGGACUUUGAUGUCGCAUAAACCUUUUGAGGUGAAUUCUAGGCUGGUCUCCCUGCUUAUCUUCUGAGGCUGAGCUGGGAGCUGAGUUUGGAAUCAAGAACCCACCCUUGGUGCUAGCAAGUUUCUACCCCGGCUCUGAUGUCCUCUCAUACUCGCCCACAUUAUCCUGUCCAGUCUCCCUCAAGCCACCCACAAGUGGGGUACCCAGGGGCUCCUGAGACCAAAAGCGAGGAUAUGGGGAGUGGCCAUCCUCCUAUGUUUCCAUGAUUUUUCCGCUGGCCUGUAGCCAUCCUCUGCUCCUUAUUGUCAGGCACUCAAACCUUUUUGCCUGUGACACUGUGACACUUCACUGUUGGAGAUGAGGCCUGCCAUCAGUCACCAGCAUAGCCUCUUGGUACAGGAGCAGAGACUCCGUUUCAGGAUGAGGUCCUCACGGUGGGGACUGGUCCAGGUCUCCAGGGCUUGUGGAGGUGGUGCAGGUACAGCAGGGAAUCUCAGUAUGGGUUUAUGCCCUAACUCUGAGCUCUCUCUGGGUCAACCCUGAGCACAGCCCACCUGCUCCAACUGGAAGCCCCUUAGCUCUGCUAACUAGUUUAUCCAACCCCCUUCUUUCUUUGUGCUGGGGAUUGAACCUAGGACCAUGUGCAUACUAGGCCAGCUCUCUGUCACUGAGCCGUAUAUCCUCAGCCCCACCGACCUGCCCUCUGCCCUGAGUCUCCUGGCAGUAUGAGCUAUGGCACUUGCUGCUUGACCAUGGCAUCUUGGCCUUGGCUCCAAUAUCAUCUCUAUCACCAUCCCCAGGAAAACAAAAACAAAAACAACAACCCAGCCCCCUUCUCAGGAUGCCACCAUCCCAAUGCAGGUUUUAGCUACUACAUUGCACUUAAUGCAUAUGCACCUGUCUGGUAUGUUCUAGCUCCUGCUGAAGACACACGAGGUCUGUGAAGGCAGAGACCAUCUACCCUGCUUAGUAUUCUAAGAUCCAUGAACAGAAAGCAAUGCUCAGGAAAUGUGUGCGGGGUGGGCGAGUGAGUGACUGGAUUCACAGCCACAGGAUUGAUGUUCAGGGCAGUCAGGGAACCUUUCCAAGGUCCUACUUGAGUUUAGGAACCAGAUUUAGGCUGCUAAGUGGUAGAGUCCCUGGUUGACCCAUUAUCACCGCAUAGAGCAUCUGUAAUCACUGCACAUAGCAUGUCACCAUUGCAUCUAGCAUUUGCUCGGGGACUGUGGAGACGGUGAUGCUGAGGACUGGGUGGGAGACAGAUUCAUUGACAAAGUCAAUUGAAGUGGGAAGUCCUUAAAAAACAUCCUGUACCCUAGGACUGGGGAGGUGGCUGAGUGGAUAAGAGUGCUUGCUCUGUAAGCUCGAGGACCUGAGUUUGGAUCCCAGCACCCACAUAAAGAACCAGGUGUGGCUGCAUGUGCCCGUAACCGCAGCAUUAGAGGUGGAGAUAAGCCAGAAGCUCCCUAGGCAGCUUCAGGUCCAGUGAGAGACUCUCUCAAGAGACCUGGUUAGGGUGUGAUAGAGACAAAUAACUGCUGUGUCCUGCUCUGGUCUCCACGUGUGCCUCCAUGGGCACACAUCUCCACCAUUGCUAUAGUGGUGGUUUGGGUGAGAAUGGUCCCUCAUAGGCUCAUUUAUUUGAACAUUUGGUCCCCAGUUGGUGGAACUGUUUGGGAAGGAUUAGGAGGUGUGGACUUGUUGGAAAAUGUGUGUCACUGUGGGCAGGAUUUGAGGUUUCAAAAGACUAGUGCCAUGCCCAGUGUGCCCACUGCCCAGUGGUUGUGGACCAACUUGUGACUCAGCUGUUCCUUCUCCCUGCUGUCAGGGACUCUCUCCCUGACACCACAGACCAAAUGAAAUUCUUCCUUCUGUAAGUAUCUUUGGUCAUGGUGUUUGGUCACAGGAAUAGAAAAGUAAGACAACUACAUACAUACAUCCAUACAACACACACACACACACACACACACACACAGGAGGGACAGUGUUCCCUAUUGCCCCUAUUCAUUGCAUUAAUUGCUUAGACUUCCCUAAAUAAUGAUAUGAACCGUGUGACUUAAAAUAACAGAAAUGGGGCCAGCGAGUUGGCUCAGCAGGUAAGAGUGCUCACUGCCAAGCCUGACUACCUGAAUUCAAUCCAGAACCCACAUAGUGUCAGGAAAAGAACCAGCUCUUGAAAGUUGUCCUCUGACCUCCACACACACACACGCCAUGGCGCAUGUACACCCUUCCACUUAGUAAAUAAAUAAAGUGUAAUUUAAAAAAGAAAAUGCUGGAAAUGGAGCCAGGUGUAGUGAGGCAUACCUAAUCGCAGUACUAGGGAAGCAGCAGCAGGAAGAUGGUGAGUUUGAGGCCAGUUUGGGCUACAAAGAUCCCGCCUCAAUCAUAACCUCACCCAUCUCCCCGUCUCUCUUUCUCCCUCUCUCCCUGCCCCCGCCCCUGCCCCAUGCGCAUGUGCUCAUGUGUGCUACAACAACAGCAACAACCAGAAAUGCGUUCCCUCCUAAUUCUGGAAGGUGUAAGUAGGCUAUAGAUUGAAGGUUUGUGUCCCCCCUUCAUCUGCACACUGAGGCCUAGCCCACAGUGUGAGGGAAGGUGGUUAGAUCGUAGGAUAGGAGCCUUCCCAUCAGGUUCUUAGAAGCUAUUGAAGAGACGCCAGAGAGAUAAUCUCUGUGUUGGCCUUGUGAAGACACAAUGAGAGAGGGGCCCUUCCACAUAGGUGGAGAGCCAUCUUCAGGCCCUGAAUCAGUGGGCGCCUUGGUUUUGGAUGCUGCAUUCUCCAGAACCACAAGGAAUCAAUGCCUGUUGCUUGAACAUCUUGUCUGCUGUACUUACUGUAGCAGCCUGGGCCGCGGAGAGUCUAGGUAGCAUUUUUGCUUACCUCUUCCUAGGCGGUGGCCAGUGAGCCUUGGGGCCAUCCUGGCUUAGAGUGAGUCAUUCCACUCUGUAACUAUUGUCACACAGCACUGUCCCUGUCUGCGUCUGUGUCACCAUGACUUACAGCCCACACAUUCUUAAUUCAAUUAUACUGCAAAGGCCUAGUUUACUCCACGUCAAUAAGAGGGGAUGAAAGAUAUUCCCAGAACCCAGCUCGGAUUCUCUGACGUGGAGGCCAUUUUUUAAGGAGCACUGUAAAGUGGUCAGCAGGCCACAUUUAGAUUCUGACUUUUUCUUGCCCCUGAUUAUUUACAUUGGUCUUGCCAACACCUAAUUGGACAGCUUAGUUUUUGGUGACUCAUUUGUAACUGUGUCUUUCAGAGCAGCCAAAUGAAUUGUCAUCAAAACUGUGUUCCCUUGUUUGUGCGCUUCUGAUCUAUCCAUUAACAUAACAUUUAAUUACAUUGCCAACAGUAAUUACGACGCCAAGCAAGUUGUCAGAAGCACAUUAGGGAGUCAGCACAACGGACUGGCGACCUGCCACCCACUGGGGCAGUGUGCAGGGCCCAGGGAGGGGCUGCCAUGGGCUCCUCUGGUCCCUUCUCCAGAAUCUUUAUUUCCGAGGGGCCCAGAUGCAUUGCUAAGGGGCCUGGGUCUGGGCGGAGGCUCAGCAUGUACAACUGUUGUCAGGGCACGUGGUAAUGUCACUUCUUUUUUUGUUUUCUGUUUUUCGAGACAGGGUUUCGUUGUGUAGCCCUGGCUGUCCUGGAACUCACUCUGUAGACCAGGCUGGCCUCGAACUCACAGAGAUCCUCCUACCUCUGCCUCCUGAGUGCUGGGAUUAAAGGCAUGCACCACCACUGCCCGGCAGCAAUGUCUCUUCUGAGUGCAUCCCUCUACAUCAGUGGCUCUCAACCUUCCUAAUGCUGUGACCCUUUAAUACAGUUCCUCAUGAUGUGGUGACCCCUAACAAUACAAUUAUUUUCAUUGUUACUUCACAACUGUAAUUUUGCUACUGUUAUGAAUUGUAAUGGAAAUAUCUGUAUUUUCCGAUCAUCUUAGGCAACCCCCUGUGAAAGGGUCAUUCGGAUCAUAAUCCAUAGGUUGAGAAUCACUGCUCUAGAUCCAAGCACUCAGAUGCUGGCCAGACAGGCAGCCUUCACCAAAGGCUACGAUCCUUACUAAAGCCCUGCUCCCAAUAGGGAGUCUUAGAAAUCAAGACCAACACAUCCAUGGAGCCAGCUAUUAUUAAAAAACCAACAGCUGAGGAUGUAGCUCAGUUGGUAGAGUGCCUGCCUAGUGUGUGUGAAGCCCUGCAUUCAAUCCCCAGCGCUGCAUGCUCCCAAGUGUGGUGCUGCAUGCCCGUAAUCCCAGCACUCAGGAGGUGGAGGCAGGCGGUUCAGAAGUUCAAAGUUAUCCUUGACUUCAUUGCAAGCUUGAGGCCAACUGGACUACAUGAGACCUUGUCUCAGAACCAACCAACCAAUCAACUCAGCCACAAGGGAAGAUACAGACAAGCUAGAGCCUUCUGCGCAGCUGCUGAGAACGCAGAGUGGCAUGGCCAUAUGGGAAGCAGGCUGGCAGAUUCCUCUUCAGUUAUACCGAGAGUUGUAGAAGCUGGCAUCCUAGGGAGAUCCACCCACAAGAACUGAAAUCAGAUUCACCGUGGCCAGGGCUGGAGGGGGAGGGAUGGGGUUCCCAUUCAGGAUGAUGAAACAUUCUGGAAAUAGUGUUGUGGUGUAUUUUAUUGACAUAUAAUAACUAAACACAUUUGUAGGCUACGAUGAUAUUAACACCUCAGAAUUGUAUGCUUUCACAUGUUGGAAUCUGAGUUUUUAUGUUCAUGUGUACUUUACCAUAAAAAAACUAAAACCAAGAAACCAAGACUUCACUUUGGUCCACUGCAGUAGCACUGUCCCCAGAACUGGUUCAUCAGGACUCUGGCGGCCGGUGGGUGCCCUAAUGAAGUUGAGACUAUGUGAGCACACCGUAUUGCUGGUUCUACCAUCCCCCAUGCAAGAUCCUCAGGCUGGGGGUGCCCUAGGUUCACAGAAUCCUCUGAACCCUUCACUCCAUGUGCCUUUUGUGUCUGGUUCACUGGGGGUUUGGGGAGACCUAGUCAGUCCCCGGUGGCCCAGAACCCCCAGUCCACCAGUUCUGGAACUGUCCUCCUGUCUGUGUGGCUACUCGGUGCCUUUGUUAGUGCCUUCACAGGAGCAGCUGGGACUCUUGCCACCUCCGCUACUCUCCAGGCUCUAUUUCUGCAGAAUCCUCUAAAGACCUCCAGUUACAACCUUCUGGGUGAGUUCCUGCAUUGGCAAUGUUGCCUGAAAACCCCACUGCCACCCUCACCUAGGAUCUGGGAUCUCAGGGGCUCCCCAGGUAGUUUGGGACAAAGUGUCUGCCUUCCAGGGGGACCCAGGUCUAGGUGGCAGCUGGAAUAUUUAUCUUCAUCCAAUCAAGGCAGCAAGGACUGCAGAUGGGGGCAGCGGGUCUUAGCCUAGGGCAGGGACUCUAGGAGGUGGGGAAGGGACCGGGUGCCAUAGACCCUCUCCUGGCCUGGCUCAAUGGCCCACACCUUUCCAGCUGGAGCAGAUCUGGGCCUGGACACUAUUUGUGUCCUCCCCAUCACCCUGGGAAUGAAGGCUAAAGAAGGGACACUUCCAUGUUGUCCACCCUAGCUGGGUGUCUGUGGUAUUCCUCAGCCUCUCUGGGUCUCUAAAAGGCCCUGCCCCUGCCCUGUGCCUUUGUCCAAUGGGUAAUGAGGUUGGGCUUCGGGGGUCUGUCUAGAACCCCACAGAGAGACAGGAGGAGUGGCUAGUGGUCUGGAACUCAUCUCACGACUGUUCCCUGAAUGCGAAGAGCUUUGCAAAACUCACGCAGUCCAGGUCUUCCUCCACCCUGAGCUCCAGGGUCUACAGGGUUGGUGUGUUAGCAGGAGACUGGGAGGCCAUGCUGGAAUGUGCAGCCAGGGCAGACUGGGACACUGGGAGGUGGGCAGUCUGAGGCUUGUAUUUUGCAGGCUCUUUCCACUAGCUCAUCUCUGAGUACUACUCGUCAACUGACUGGGAAGCCGAAGAAUGUCCCCAAAGGGAGGAGAUAGAGAGCCACCUUGCAAUGGGGUCUUGCGGGGGCUGAGUGGAUCCUGGAUGGGGAACACAAGGCUGACAGUGGCUUCUGGUGACCUGGGCUGUACGGUUUGACAUGAAGCAUCACUUGAAGGAGGGGAUGAGUGGAGUGGAGAAGAGGAGAGACCCUGAGCACACAGCCUCAAUUUCUUCUUCCCCAGCUGACCUGGCACUGAUGGUACCACUGAUGACGCCAAUGUGACACACUGUUGGGGUCAGCCUGAGACCCUAUGUCAACCUCACUGUCCCUUGGCUCCAGUGCUGCUGUGUGGGUCUUGGCUUUCCAAGCCAAGGCUGGAGCACUCCAGAAAGGGAAGAUCCCCGAUGUGCAGCCAAGCCUUCCAUCCCCAGUCUUGGUUUCCUCUGCUGCAGAAUGGGCUGAUUCCCCACUGAGUUAAGGAUUGGAGAACAUGUUAGAAUAGAUUUGGUAGAUGAUAAAGCAACCUACAGCGGACCCGGUUAAGGUAAGGUUGACUAUCUGAAUCCUAAACCCUUUCCCCUCCCUCUUCAGAAGGCAGUUUACCUUGAUCUGGCUGUUCCUAUCUUAGUCCUAAGGCAAAUGCCUCUUCAGCACAGAGGCUUGGGGAACCAGAAUCCCUGAGUGGGGACUGUUUUGCCCUCAGGAAGAGAGCGCUUCUCCCCCUGCUGCUCUGUGUCCACCAAGAGAACCGCAGGAGAAGUGAGAUCUUUUGCAAGAGGGUGGCUCUCAGGAGACUGUGUUCCCUGGGUGUGAUAUGGAAAAGCGUUCUUUCGGACAUGAGGGACAGAUCCAUCCUGGGGCCGAAGAGGGCCCUGUGACUCCAGUUGGCAACUGUUCGGCCCUUCCACAUAGUGGCGUGGGUCAAUCCACUCACAGCCAGAGGAAGAUCCCCCCCCCCAACCUCGGAGCAGAAUGGCCCCUGAUGUCCACUGAGGGGCCUGCCCAGACACUGCCUGAAGCUACUCACUGCUUAGUGUUCCUACUUAUCCCCAGGCAGCCUCCUCUUACAGCCUCUGGACAGGAGGCCCGUCCCUCAUCUCAACCCGCCCCUGCUCGCUCAGGCACACCAGCUUCUCCGAGACAGCAGGCCCCGGUUUCCUUAGGACACAGGCCCAUGCUGCCACAUUGAAUGACACCUUGCUCUCUCCCUCUUCUGCUCAGGUUGAAAGACAAGAGUGGAGAACCA